CAGUCGCCGCGGUAAUACGAAGGGUGCAAGCGUUACUCGGAAUUACUGGGCGUAAAGCGUGCGUAGGUGGUGGUUUAAGUCCGUUGUGAAAGCCCUGGGCUCAACCUGGGAAUUGCAGUGGAUACUGGGUCACUAGAGUGUGGUAGAGGAUAGUGGAAUUUCCGGUGUAGCAGUGAAAUGCGUAGAGAUUGGAAGGAACAUCUGUGGCGAAGGCGACUAUCUGGGCCAACACUGACACUGAGGCACGAAAGCGUGGGGAGCAAACAGGAUUAGAUACCCCAGUAGUCCCUGUCUCUUAUAC
rnacentral:rRNA from 1 species